UCUCUUUUAUCAGCUGGAAUCAAAUAAUUCCACAUUUCAUGAAGCACAUUUUAGUAUUUAUUAGUGGUAACCAUCCCUGAACAAUGAACCAAGUUCAGCAUCUUGAGUUGCUCCUUUUGUAUCGGUUUACCUGAUAACAGGUCUCCCAUUAGGUUGUCCAUGUCAACCAUGCCUGCCAGCACUAAUUAUCAUCAUUAACUACUGACAAGGAUCCCGAUGACCACAUUUGAUACUGAAGAUGCUUCCCACUGCCAUGCUUAAUUCACACAUACAUACACUAAUAGCCACACCAUCUUUUCCACAUUUUAGAUUAACAAAUCCAAUCUCACGGAUGUUUGAAGUUCGAAGAAUGCUCGUCCCUUUUUUUGUACCCGCUCUAUUGGUUCCAUUGUACUAAUCAAAUCAUGUUUAUAAAUCUAAUUGAUCAAUGCUUGUUCUUUGGUAUUGGAGUCUGGUCAUACCUGAGCACUGUUUAUAAGUAUUCACCCUACUCUCCAAGGUAUCACUAUAAGCAAAAUUUGAAGUGUUAGUCCAAAAACUUUGAUUUUUCUUUAUCCACUUCCAUCCCUGUUGUAUCAAAAAGGAAAACUGAUUUUGAUAUUGUUCUUCAAUGGUCGGCAGUAUUCAUACUCUCAAACUUUCAAGGUCUUAAUUAUGUAGAUGGAGUCCUCUUUUUUUGCUUUAAAUUUAUUAACAGUUUGUUCCCAAUAGAAGCAUGGAUUGCAUUGCCCUACACAGAGAGAACAUUAGCUAGCUUCAUAAAAGGAAAACUGAAGAGACAUUAUAUAUGUAAUACUUGGACCUUUUUAUCUCACAAAAUCUUAACAGUGCUAAUGAGUUCAUUAGUUGAUAAGUUAAUUGUGUCCUAAAGUCGUAAGACUUUGAGACUUUGACUUUGAUGGUCCAUGUCUCGCUUCGUGUAGUCAAUGAAUUCAGUGGUUUGGGUGCCAUAUUCCUUGAGGCCCUAAAAAUAUAAGAACAAAAUGUUGAUUAGUAAAGUAAGUAUAUAACGACAUGACAACUUUAUAAAUACAAAAUUUUAUUUUGCAAUGGCCUCUAGUGAUUAUGUGAUCACAAAGUAAAUUUAAGAUUUUUUUAACUGGAAUAGAUAUAUGAAACCAUAUUAUGAAUGAAUAUAUUUUUUGACUAUUGAUUUGAUCUUUUGUUUCAGAAUGGAGCUGUGGCAUUAAGACAGAAACCCAAUAUCGAAUUUGAGUUGGUACUUACUUGAGGUGGUCUGAUUGCUCGAUGGAGCCAGCCGGUGUCCGCUGGAGGAAGACAAUGCCGAAGUGCCACUGGUUGGAGGAAGUUGACUUUGAAGUGUCGUUCGCGGGAGGAAGAUGAUGUACAAGGUAUAUCAUCUAGUCUAGAGGACAAUUAACCCUUGAGGCGUAAUUGCUCUGGUUUGGGCAAUCAAAUCUCUGUACAUUACUGUGAGAAUUUGGAGAGAUUGCAUCUCUGAACUUUUUUUUGUGCCUGUUCUUUUUAUUGUGGGAUGGUCUGAUUGCUCAUGGAUGGUCAAACCUGUUGGGAUCAUGAGGUUUCUAUUGUGGGAUGGUCUA